rnacentral:rRNA from 1 species
UACGAAGGGUGCAAGCGUUAAUCGGCAUUACUGGGCGUCCCGGGUGCGUAGGCGGUUUUUUAAUUCUUCCUUUAAAUCCCCGGGCUCAACCUGGGAAUGGCGGUGGAUACUGGGCAGCUAGAGUGUGUCAGAGGAUGGUGGAAUUCCCGGUGUAGCGGUGAAAUGCGUAGAGAUCGGGAGGAACAUCAGUGGCGAAGGCGGCCAUCUGGGACAACACUGACGCUGAAGCACGAAAGCGUGGGGAGCAAACAGG